rnacentral:rRNA from 1 species
GACGAACGCUGGCGGCGUGCCUAAUACAUGCAAGUCGAGCGCAGGAAAUCGACGGAACCCUUCGGGGGGAAGUCGACGGAAUGAGCGGCGGACGGGUGAGUAACACGUAAAGAACCUGCCCUCAGGUCUGGGAUAACCACGAGAAAUCGGGGCUAAUACCGGAUGGGUCAUCGGACCGCAUGGUCCGAGGAUGAAAGGCGCUCCGGCGUCGCCUGGGGAUGGCUUUGCGGUGCAUUAGCUAGUUGGUGGGGUAAUGGCCCACCAAGGCGACGAGGCAUGGCCGACCUGAGAGGGUGAUCGGCCACACUGGGACUGGGACACGGCCCAGACUCCUACGGGAGGCAGCAGUAGGGAAUCUUCCACAAUGGACGAAAGUCUGAUGGAGCAACGCCGCGUGAACGAUGAAGGCCUUCGGGUCGUAAAGUUCUGUUGUAAGGGAAGAACAAGUGCCGCAGGCAAUGGCGGCACUUUGACGGUACCUUGCGAGAAAGCCACGGCUAACUACGUGCCAGCCGCCGCGGUAA